UGUAGUCAUAUGCUUGUCUCAAAGAUUAAGCCAUGCAUGUCUAAGUAUAAACAACUUUAUACUGUAAAACUGCGAACGGCUCAUUACAUCAGCAAUAAUUUAUUUGAUGAUUUCUUACUACAUGGAUAACUGUAGUAAUUCUAGAGCUAAUACAUGCGCAAAGUCCUGACUCGCGAGGGGAGGGAUGUAUUUAUUAGAUACAAAACCAAUGCGGGUUCUGCUCGCCAUUGUGUUGAAUCAUAGUAACUUAUCGAACGCCAUAGCCUUGUGCUGGGCGUAGAUCAUUCAAAUUUCUGCCCUAUCAGCUUUCGACGGUAGUGUAGUGGACUACCGUGGCGUCAACGGGUAACGGGGA
rnacentral:rRNA from 1 species